rnacentral:ribozyme from 1 species
UGCCCAGCAACUCCUAUCCCUACCUCCUCGUGGUACCGGCCGGAAACUAUGAGCAACUUUAGGGAAGAUCGGGUAACCAACCCCGGAGGGGGGGGG